UUGAAGAAAGGGAAUAUCAUUGCUAGCACGGCUGUUACUAUAACGUACGCUGUCCUCCAUACUAAUCUGAAGAAGUUGAGAUAGUAAAUGCCGCAGAACGGAACAUCCAUAGCGUGUUCGCGGGUUAUGAACUUGUUGUCGGGAUAAUGUCUGGCGCACAAGCUUUCGACGAACCCAAAUAACGGUUGGGCAAAAACUUGGUAUGCACCAAUAAGGUGGACAGCAAUACAGACGUUGGCGAAGUCGAUUAACCAAAAGGGUUCGUAGAAACCGAACCCUGUAAGGAAAUUUCCUGGUGCAUCGUUUCCGAAUGCUGC
rnacentral:lncRNA from 1 species